rnacentral:rRNA from 1 species
AUUGAACGCUGGCGGCAUGCUUUACACAUGCAAGUCGAACGGCAGCGGGGUAGUGCUUGCACUACUGCCGGCGAGUGGCGAACGGGUGAGUAAUAUAUCGGAACGUACCGAGUAAUGGGGGAUAACCAAUCGAAAGAUUGGCUAAUACCGCAUACGUCCUGAGGGAGAAAGCGGGGGAUCGCAAGACCUCGCGUUAUUCGAGCGGCCGAUAACUGAUUAGCUAGUUGGUGGGGUAAAGGCCUACCAAGGCGACGAUCAGUAGCGGGUCUGAGAGGACGAUCCGCCACACUGGGACUGAGACACGGCCCAGACUCCUACGGGAGGCAGCAGUGGGGAAUUUUGGACAAUGGGGGCAACCCUGAUCCAGCCAUGCCGCGUGUAUGAAGAAGGCCUUCGGGUUGUAAAGUACUUUUGUUAGGGAAGAAAAGGGAAGUGCUAAUACCACUUUUUGCUGACGGUACCUAAAGAAUAAGCACCGGCUAA